ACUGAUACUUGCCUAUAAGAAGGUCUUAGAAAUGGACCUUUCUUAAAACACACUGUUACCACUUGGAUUCAUCACAUUUUUGGGGCAGUUUUAACAUGGCAACUGCAGAAGUCACAGACACUUGAGUAAAUGGUAUUCCUCACAGGUGGACCAAGAAGAGAGGAAUAACUUCUUAAAGUGUUCUGUAAACAAUAAUCACCUUUUUAGAGUUGUGGGACUUUAAAAAGAUGCUUAGGACAUCAUAUUGCCCAUGUUCUGAAAGGCACAGGCUCAGAAGUCUCCACUCCUGGGAAAAGACAAGGCUACCAGAGAGGCAAAAGAAAGCAACAAGUUAUUCCAGACGAGCAGCCUGUGCAACCCUUUGGCCAAUGUUUGACGCAUCAAAGAUCUGUCGUGGUUCAACCUUUUCAUACGCCCUUGGUCAGAACAGAGGAAAGUCAGUUUAAAAAAGAGCCAGCCAUAUUGGAAGAGGGUGCAGGAACCAUUCAGAGCUAGAAAGGUUGAAUUGCAGUGGGGAUGAGGGAGGACAACUCAAAGUUUUCUAAAUAAGGAGAUUAAGAGAUGCCUCAGUUACUGACUACUAGAACCAGCAUGGAAAAAUAAUUUGGAAUAAUAUUGUUGAGUCCACUAGAUAAAAAUAUGGAUGGAUGUUCAUCUCAAGCUGAACAAAUCCAACCUAAAAAGAGAGCACAUUUUUUUAACCACAAGUAUGAAGUUAAACUUCAAAAGACAUUUACAAGAGAAGCAAUAAGUCACAUACUCUGGAUGUCUUUCUGGGAGAUCAAGUUUUAAUCAAGCCCAAAUUAUUGGCCUAGGUACAGGUAAAAUAUAAUGGACUGCGGUAUUUGACCCUGCAGGUCUGCCUAACACCUGAUGCAUGAAUAAAGGCAUUUUAUAAGUCCGCGAUUAUGUGAUGGAUUCCUGGGCCCAACAAGUUAAUCAGUGAGGCAGGAUCUUGGCUGUAUAACCUGCUAGAUGUCUUUGGGAGAUGGACUUGGCCUUGUUCCUCUCUGCGUCUUUUACAUUAGCAGGUCCUGGGGUCAGAGAAAUCCCGAAGACAGAUCCUACCUAGAUGUAAGCUGUGGCUGCUAGAUCUCACAGACAGAUCCUCUUUAUACACUUUUCUGCUAUUUCCCCAUGUUGGAUAGGGCUUUUCAUUCUGAAGGGAAGAACAUAGCUUCCUUGUCCUCUGGGUAGUACACAGCAUAGUAGUCUAGAUACACUGCUAAGAUACAGAGGCAAGCAUGAUGUCUGAGUCCUGGGUUUAGACAAAGCUUCACAAAAGCUUCACAUCAAGUCCCUGGUUUCCUGAAUGACUGUGCUGACCAAUAAGUAACUAUGUACAAAUGGAUAUUGGCAUCAGCGUUUUGUUUGUUUUUUUUUUUUUUUUUGUUAAUGAAGUGGUGAGUUCCAGAUUGAGAUUAAAGUUACCUGCCUCUGUGACCCCUUUACAGUCAGGAUACAUAUAACAAUCACAUUCUCACUGGAGCUGAGAGUGAUAUUCAGCUUACCAGCCACUAGGGAUGCAAUUCAAUUGCCCACACAAAGCCAUUUAGAAUCCCCAGAGCAUUUGAAUUUCUGCAGAAGGCUGGUAGAAAUAACCUAUGACUUAUAGGACAUACUCAACUCCUGGUGCAGAAAUUAGAGGCCAGGGAGGAUAUCCCACAACAACCAAAAUAGCAUGAGGGUUCUAUAUCUGGGAAGCUCAGUCCAUCCCAGGGUGUCACUCUAGAUGUCUGAUGAGUGUGAUGGGAGUUUUAACACAUAAGUAGGUGCCCAAUUUUGGGGUCUUAAUCUGAAGCUGAGCAUUACUCAGACUAACUAUAGUCCUGGUGCUCCGUGUUGUGAUCACUGGUUUAAGUCCCUGCAGUAAGUACAUCCUCAGGGGUCUCAGGUUUUGCCUAGAUGCUAGACUAAAUAACAGGCUCAUCAAGUGUGUGUAACUGCACCCAAAGACCUUAUGGUCCUGAGAACCCCAAAGAUCAGACUGGAUCUGAUCUUUGCAACUAGGAGUUGCAAACAUGACUGACAUAAACCAGUGCAAUCAGGAAGACUUAUCAGAACUGCUGUUUAGGAUCAAUAUGUCUAA